rnacentral:rRNA from 1 species
CAGGCCUAACACAUGCAAGUCGAGCGGUAACACAGGGAGCUUGCUCCCGGGUGACGAGCGGCGGACGGGUGAGUAAUGUCUGGGAAACUGCCUGAUGGAGGGGGAUAACUACUGGAAACGGUAGCUAAUACCGCAUAAUGUCGCAAGACCAAAGAGGGGGACCUUCGGCCUCUUGCCAUCAGAUGUGCCCAGAUGGGAUUAGCUAGUAGGUGGGGUAAUGGCUCACCUAGGCGACGAUCCCUAGCUGGUCUGAGAGGAUGACCAGCCACACUGGAACUGAGACACGGUCCAGACUCCUACGGGAGGCAGCAGUGGGGAAUAUUGCACAAUGGGCGCAAGCCUGAUGCAGCCAUGCCGCGUGUAUGAAGAAGGCCUUCGGGUUGUAAAGUACUUUCAGCGGGGAGGAAGGCGAUAAGGUUAAUAACCUUGUCGAUUGACGUUACCCGCAGAAGAAGCACCGGCUAACUCCGUGCCAGCAGCCGCGGUAAU